rnacentral:rRNA from 1 species
ACAUGCAAGUCGAACGAAGUAGCAAUACUUAGUGGCAGACGGGUGAGUAACAUGUAGGUAUCUUCCCUUUGGCCUGGAAUAACACGAGGAAACUUGUGCUAAUACUGGAUAAGUCUUUACAGAGAAAGCUUUAUGCACCAUUGGAUGAGCCUGCACUUGAUUAGUUUGUUGGUGGGGUAAUGGCCUACCAAGACUUUGAUCAAUAGCUGAUUUGAGAGGAUGAUCAGCCACAUUGGGACUGAGACACGGCCCAAACUCCUACGGGAGGCAGCAGUGGGGAAUCUUGCACAAUGGAGGAAACUCUGAUGCAGCGAUGCCGCGUGAGUGAAGAAGGCCUUUGGGUUGUAAAGCUCUUUCGUCGGGGAAGAAAAUGACUGUACCCGAAUAAGAAGGUCCGGCUAACUUCGUGCCAGCAGCCGCGGUAAUACGAAGGGACCUAGCGUAGUUCGGAAUUACUGGGCUUAAAGAGUUCGUAGGUGGUUGAAAAAGUUGGUGGUGAAAUCCCAGAGCUUAACUCUGGAACUGCCAUCAAAACUUUUCAGCUAGAGUUUGAUAGAGGAAAGCAGAAUUUCUAGUGUAGAGGUGAAAUUCGUAGAUAUUAGAAAGAAUACCAAUUGCGAAGGCAGCUUUCUGGAUCAUUACUGACACUGAGGAACGAAAGCAUGGGUAGCGAAGAGGAUUAGAUACCCUCGUAGUCCAUGCCGUAAACGAUGUGUGUUAGACGUUGGAAAUUUAUUUUCAGUGUCGCAGCGAAAGCGAUAAACACACCGCCUGGGGAGUACGA